rnacentral:rRNA from 1 species
UACGUAGGGUGCAAGCGUUGUCCGGAAUUAUUGGGCGUAAAGAGCUUGUAGGCGGCUUGUCGCGUCUGCUGUGAAAAUCCGAGGCUCAACCUCGGACUUGCAGUGGGUACGGGCAGGCUAGAGUGUGGUAGGGGAGACUGGAAUUCCUGGUGUAGCGGUGAAAUGCGCAGAUAUCAGGAGGAACACCGAUGGCGAAGGCAGGUCUCUGGGCCAUUACUGACGCUGAGGAGCGAAAGCGUGGGGAGCGAACAGG